AACUCUGGCCCUCCAGAUGUUUGGGGCUACAAAUCCCAUCAUCCCUGACCCCUGGUCCUGUUAGCUAGGGAUGAUGGGAAUUGUAGUCCCAAACACCUGGAGGCCCGGAGUU